rnacentral:rRNA from 1 species
AUUGAACGCUGGCGGCAGGCCUAACACAUGCAAGUCGGGCGGUAGCACAGGAGAGCUUGCUCUCCGGGUGACGAGCGGCGGACGGGUGAGUAAUGUCUGGGAAACUGCCUGAUGGAGGGGGAUAACUACUGGAAACGGUAGCUAAUACCGCAUAACGUCGCAAGACCAAAGAGGGGGACCUUCGGGCCUCUUGCCACCGGAUGGGCCCAGAUGGGAUUAGCUAGUAGGUGAGGUAAAGGCUCACCUAGGCGACGAUCCCUAGCUGGUCUGAGAGGAUGACCAGCCACACUGGAACUGAGACACGGUCCAGACUCCUACGGGAGGCAGCAGUGGGGAAUACUGCACAAUGGGCGCAAGCCUGAUGCAGCCAUGCCGCGUGUAUGAAGAAGGCCUUCGGGUUGUAAAGUACUUUCAGCGGGGAGGAAGGUGUUGUGGUUAAUAACCACAGCAAUUGACGUUACCCGCAGAAGAAGCACCGGCUAACUCCGUGCCAGCCGCCGCAGUAA